CUAAUAAGUGUUUUAUGGCACUUUUUAAAUCCAUAUCCACCUUGUGUGCAAUGUCAGUCGAUCUUCUCAGGAGAUCGACCAAACAUCAACCUUUAUCUUUUCACUCUUUGUCUGAAAAAUAUAUGAAUAAACAAUUCAAAAUAA
rnacentral:misc_RNA from 1 species